GUUGGUUUCAAGACCAUACAAUUACAUCAAAACUUAGCAAUUUGUGGACUUUAACAAUAGACAGUUUAAUGGACAUCAAGUAUAGCUCAACAGAGAAUUUCUUUUAAAGGAAGCCAUGCAUGGAAGAAAAACAGGAGUGACUGUCCAUAAAGAAACCUUAUGCUGCCCACGUCUUUCAGCUGGGACGAUCACCGCCAGCCCACUGAGACCGCAAGGCUCAGACCUUCCUCUGUUCUGUCCUCCUCAGCGCCCCCACUGUCAUCUCCACCAGCGGCCAGACUUCGCUCCCUGUCAGUAUACCAGAGGUGGCACUGAGACCUGCAGGAUGGACACGGGAGAGAUGUUGCCUGUCUUCUCAGAGGGACGGUCAAAUCGAGAGGUCAGAUAUCGACCAAAGCAUCAUCACUUCCUAACAGUGAUCAGGCAAGACAACACAAGUGAGGUCCACAAAUACCCAAGGGAUUAAUUUUAAAAUGUAGUGAGAUCAUAGUGGCCUGGGUACAUUACAGUGGAAUGUGGGAAAUGCCACCAAAGUCCCAGAGCUGUGGCACAGACCCCCCUCUCCAAGUGUCCAGUUAUUACCCAUAGUAGGGGCUGAGUAAGACUCACUGUGUGGGGCUGGGGAUUUAGCUCGGCGGCACAGCGCCUGCCUGGCAAGCGCAAGGUCGUGAGUUCAGUUCCCGGUACCGGAAAAAAACCCGAAAGAAAAAAAGACUCACUGUGCUUGUUAUUCACCAUAGGUCUACUUGAUUUAAGUAAGAAUCACCCAGUAGAUUAAUAAAACUCUGAGUGUGUCUGUGGUCAACUGACAUAUAAGCUGCAGACUAAGGAAAGAAGACCUACCUGGGCUGUGGGUGGCACCAAUCAACAGGCUUGCAGCUUGCAUGGAAUUAAAAGAGAACAGGAGAGAGUGUGCCCUUUUUCUUGGGAUAAGCGCCAGUCUUCACCAUUUCCUUUGAAUACUCACCUCUAGUUCCUUCAGGCUUCCAGUGCAGCCUUCAGCUUUCCUACGCAGAUCUUUUGGCUUUCUGACACAGACUCACACCAGACCCUGCAGUGACCUCCAGGCUUUCAAACUCUGAAUGGAUUCUGCAGCCCUCCCGCCAGCCCUCCAGCAUGCAGACGGCCAUUCUGCACUCUUCCACCUCCAAGCUGGCAGACGCCCACUGGAACGCUAUUGCUUCUGAUCCUAUAAGCCUACUUAAUAAAUCCUUUGUUUACAUAUAUUUUAUAUGAAAAUAUGUGUACAUGUUAAAAUAUUUGUGCACAUGUAUUUUACGGUAAAUCUGUUUCUCUAAUGGCCGUAACUAAUACACCAUUAGUGGGACUGAUUUUUCAGCAGCUAUGCCACCUGUGGCUGGAUGUCCCCAUAGGACCUGCUACUGGAUAAUUGUGCUGCCAUAUUCUGAAAGGAGAUGGAUCACCAUGACAUAUUUACAACAAAAGCAUAAGCAUGGGGAUGAUGUAGAAAGUUGUAUAGGGGAACUCACAGGUUUUGUUGUUGUACUGGGAAUUAAACCUGGAGCCUCAUGCCUGCUAGACAAGUGCUCUGCCACAGAACUACAUCCUCAGCCCUUUUAUUUUCAUUUUUACUUUGAGAUGGUCUAAGUUUCCCUGUCUGGAAUCCAAUUUGUGAUUCUCCUUGCUUAGUCCACCAAGUAUCUGGGAUUAGAGGUGUGUGCCACCCUCCCUGACCUUCAGGAUUUUAUUUAUUUAUUUAUUGUUUUUUUUCUGGUACCAGGAAUCGAACUCACGACCUCACGCUUGCCAGGCAGGCGCUGUGCCACUGAGC
ensembl:lincRNA